rnacentral:lncRNA from 1 species
UAAGUGCAUCCCACACAUAUAUACACACACCCCACAUCUUUUCUAUCCACUCGUCUGUCAGUGGGUCUAGGUGGCUUCCAUGUCCUGGCUCUUGUGAACAGUGCUGCAGUGAACGUUGGGGUGCCUGUGUCCUUUUGAAUCGUGGUUUCUCAGGGUGUGUGCCCAGGAGUGGGAUUGCUGGGUUGUAUGGCAGUUCUACUUUCAGCUUUUUUAGGAACCUCCGUACUUCCCCACAGUGGCUGAAUCAACUUACAUUCCCACCAACAGAGCCCGGGAGUUAGUUCCCUUGUCCUUGCACCCUUUCCAGCACUUGUUUGUAGGCUGUUUCGGCGAUGGCCGUCCUGAGCUUGUGAGGCGCCUCACUGUAGUUCGGUUUGCAUUCCUCUGACAGCUAGUGGUGCUGGACAUCUUUUCAUGUGCCCCUGGGGCAUCUGUCUGUCUUCUUUGGGGAAAUGUCUGUUUACGUCUUGGGUCCAUUUUUUGAUUGGGCUGUUUACUGCAGGGAGAUCACCUGCUCAUUUUAGUGAUGGAGAAGCUGAAGCUGAGAAAUCUGCCCAAACCUCAGCAGUGAGAGGGAUGGGGCUGCCGCUGGAACGGGCCUCUCAGGUCCCACCCCUGUGUUCACCACCCCGUGAGCUGUCUGCUGUGAAGACGCACAUCCAGGAGCACACACAGAAGGACCUGCAAGCUCACAGAGAGCAUCCUGACCAGGCCCACCUGUGAAUGACUCUGGCGGCUGACCGGGACCAGGAAAUGUUUGACUUUACUCCCAUCCCUUUUACAUGAAGGAGGCCUGAUGGUUCUUUGGGGCAUGAGUCUACCAUCGUCUUGGUCUGCUGGCUUUCUGAAUAAAGUUACUAUUCCUUGCCCCAGUAACUCGUCUCUCGGUUUAUCGGUCUGCCGUGUGGUGGGCAGUGCUAGCUUGGACUUGGUGACACUUGGCGCUGGGGUGUGGACAGGGUUAGGAGGUGACUGUCCCUACCGCCCCACUCGAAUCCCUUGAAGGUAAGGACUGUGUCUUCCUGUUCCUUUGUGAGAGCCAAGAGGGAAGAGAACUCUAACCGAAUCUGGGGGGAGCUGAACGGCCCCGCGAGACUGUCUCUUCCNNNNNNNCCGCGCCGUGUUUUAGCUGGGAAGUCUGAGGCUCUGCGAGGGGUGACUCAUGCUUGAGUGAGCAGCAGGACAGCUGUCACUGGCCCUGAGCCGUGACCCUGGCCCCACAGCAUUGCCACUCGAGGGUUGCCUUUCCAGCUGCUCGCCACUCUCUUAUCUGAGCCGUGGCAUGGCUGGGCACUGGGAGGCGGGCCUGGACCCCAGGUCAGGGGACCAAAGUCCGUCCAGGUCACAGGGGGUGAACUGUGCCUCCCCAAAGCCUCCUCCAAAACAGACGUCAGCCCUGCCUGUGGGCUGGGGGUCUGACUUUCCCCUGACAGGUAAGGAUGGUGGCUAACCUCGAAUGGGACCCCCAGAGGAGGGCUGAGGUCUGGGGACUCCUGACCACUGGCCAGACAAGCUCUUUCCUCCAGACAACCUUGGUGGUCAUCUCCAAAGGAGGCCAGAAGGUCCCGAGGAUGGAUUCCAACCCAAUGGCAGAAGCUUUUCUUGGCUGCAUGGGAGUUGGGGAACCAGGGAGUAAAGGGAGGGGUCUGUCCAUCCGCUGAAUCAGGGGGCAUGCAAGUCACAGGGACAGUCCUGGCUGGACCACAUAUUAGUUGUGUGACGUUCGCAGGUCAGUUGAGAUUCCUGGGCCUCCGUUUCCUCAUGUGUAGGAUGGGGACGCGAGCACAUGCUCAUAGCAUCACGUGAGGGCCAAAUGAUUGCCUGUGUGAAUAAAGCGGAGGCAGGUAAGCGCCUGAUCCAUAACAACUACUCAGCAACGUGAGCUACAAUUAAUCACCAUUUUCUGCCUCAUCUUGAGCUACUGGCAUUGAGCUGGGUGAGAAGCUAAAUGUUAGGGUUAUGUCUGAAGUGACCUUUCCUCCCAGUUUAGGUUCUUCUGGAAGAGGUUCUUUCCCUUCCCUCUGAGGCCUGACCGCUGGAUCUCCAUCUCUCAUGGUUACCUAUGACACCAUCGCCUUCAUCUUCCCAGCUGGCAGAUGGAAACCGGUGGUGUUACUGUUCUUCCCAGGGAUGUUUACAUUUCAAGGCGGCGGGGUGGGGGGGUGUCCUUUAAAACCCUGACCAGCAAGGAUCAGGCUCUGUUGGCUUCAGAAGUCUUUGCAGUGCAAAAUAAUAUGAAUAACAACACCGACCAUUCAUCAGCCACCUACUGCGUGCCAGGCAUUGGUCUGAAUCCCUUACACGCCUUCCNNNCCUUAACUGUCCCAACAGAAGCCUGAGGUUGGGACUUGUAUUGUCACCCCAUUUUAUAGAUGGAGAAAGUGAGGUGCAGAGCCCAUUCGUAACUUGUCCAACUAUCACACGGUGAGUGGCAGAGAAGGGACGCAGACGCAGGCAACCUGACUCCAGAGCCCACUGCAGCCUCUGUUUAACCGAGCACGCGGUAUGCAGCAGGCCUGUGUUCCAGAAGCUUUAUACGCGUGACUGUCUCCAGUGUCUCUACCUGGCAGUAUGCUGGGUUUCUCUUCUAACCCUCACACGAGCCCUGUGGAGUGCAUUGCCCCCCAGUGUAAAGGUGAGACAGCGGAGACCUGGAGAGAGGGCUGCUUCUGUCGCCUCUACUGCUGUUGCGAGACUCCUUCAGAAGCUGCUUUGUCCUGACCCCAGUCCCCUGGGGAUGGUGGGAGUGUGAGGAGUGGGAGAGAAGGCAUUGGCGUCGGAGACAGAAUUUCAGAUUCCCACCUGCGUCGCUGCUAGCUUGACAACUCUGGGGACAUCCCAGAGCCUUGUAGAACCCGGCUAUUCUCGUGAGCACAGUGGUGGAAGUUGUGCCCAUCUCAAGGGCUGUUGUGAGCCUGAAAUAGGAGAUGCUCUGGGCAGAAGGCACAUAGUAGGUGCUCAAUAAAUUGCUUCAUUGCCCCUAAAGCGACAUGUUUUGCUCCGUGUCCUUAUAACACUCUGCCAGCUGCCUCUCUUGGUCCUGCUUACUAGAGGUAACUCGUGUCUAGUUCUUCAAGGACCUGGGGCUGCAAAGUUCUUGAAGUCAAAGUCCACAUCCCACGCAUCUUUAGAUCUCCCACUUGGCCCAGCGCUUUUUAUUUUACAUAAUAAUGGUGGGGUUUUUUCCCCUCAAAGUGAAAAUAGCUUUUCUAUUUCUCUCCUUUUAAAAGUGUGUGCUGUGCUAAGUCAUGUCCAGCUCUUUGUGACCCUAUUGCCUGUAGCCUGCCAGGCGCCUCUGUCCAUGGGAUUUUUCAGGC